GGAGAGGUGUCAGAGUGGCCGAACGAGCGAGCUUGGAAAGUUCGUGUACUAGCAAUGGUACCGUGGGUUCGAAUCCCACCCUCUCCGCAA
rnacentral:tRNA from 4 species